UUGACGGGGCCCGCACAAGCGGAGGAACAUGUGGUUUAAUUCGAUGAUACGCGAGGAACCUUACCUGGGCUUAAAUGUAGAGUGCAUUUUCUAGAGAUAGGAAUUCCCUUCGGGGCUUUCUACAAGGUGCUGCAUGGUUGUCGUCAGCUCGUGCCGUGAGGUGUCGGGUUAAGUCCCAUAACGAGCGCAACCCUUAUCGUUAGUUGCCAGCGGGUAAUGCCGGGGACUCUAACGAAACUGCCGGUGUAAACCGUGAGGAAGUGGGGAUGACGUCAAAUCAGCACGGCCCUUAUGUCCAGGGCGACACACGUGUUACAAUGGCCGGUACAGAGGGCAGCUACCUGGUGACAGGAUGCAAAUCUCCAAAACCGGUCUCAGUUCGGAUCGAAGUCUGCAACUCGACUUCGUGAAGCUGGAUUCGCUAGUAAUCGCGCAUCAGCCAUGGCGCGGUGAAUACGUUCCCGGGCCUU
rnacentral:rRNA from 1 species